rnacentral:rRNA from 1 species
CACGUAGGGCGCGAGCGUUGUCCGGAAUUAUUGGGCGUAAAGAGCUCGUAGGCGGCCUGUUACGUCUGCUGUGAAAUCCCGGGGCUUAACCCCGGGCGUGCAGUGGAUACGGGCAGGCUGGAGGCAGGCAGGGGAGAACGGAAUUCCCGGUGUAGCGGUGAAAUGCGCAGAUAUCGGGAGGAACACCGGUGGCGAAGGCGGUUCUCUGGGCCUGUACUGACGCUGAGGAGCGAAAGCGUGGGGAGCGAACAGG